rnacentral:rRNA from 1 species
CAGUCGCCGCGGGAAUACGUAGGUCCCGAGCGUUGUCCGGAUUUAUUGGGCGUAAAGCGAGCGCAGGCGGUUAGAUAAGUCUGAAGUGAAAGGCAGUGGCUCAACCAUUGUAGGCUUUGGAAACUGUUUAACUUGAGUGCGGAAGGGGAGAGUGGAAUUCCAUGUGUAGCGGUGGAAUGCGUAGAUAUAUGGAGGAACACCGGUGGCGAAAGCGGCUCUCUGGUCUGUAACUGACGCUGAGGCUCGAAAGCGUGGGGAGCGAACAGGAUUAGAUACCCCUGUAGUCCCUGUCUCUUAUACA